UAUGUGACAGUACAGGGAGUUCCUGUUUUAACCCUCAAAGUGAAGUGUCGUCUCAUUAUUGGGGGAAGGAUUUAUUGUAUGCUGUUCCAGUUUGACUGCUAGGAGAGUAAACCUAUUCGUAUGGUUCCUAUUCAACUGUCUACAGCAUUCAUAUGCUUGAGAGGAUUCAUAUGCUUCUCCGGUUCGGUGGUUGUGGUGUCUGCUGCAGUGCUUGGAGUCCUCAGGAAGCGCUAGGAGCAUCCUUUAACGGAGGUAUCCAGUCGGGGUGCCAGGUGAUCCGUUACACAUGGUGACCAGGGGUAAUGGGGAAUCAGGUUUCGAUACCGGAGAGGGAGUCUGAGAAACGGCUUCCACAUCCAAGGAAGGCAGCAGGCACGCAAGUUAACUACUCCCAACGCGGGGAGGUAGUGACGACAAAUAACAAUACAGGACUCUUUACAGGCCCCGUAAUUGUAAUGAGUCCACUUGAAAUCCUUUAACUAUGAUCAAUUGGAGGGCAAGUCUGGUGCAGAGCGACUGACCCAUGCGUGCUGCAGCUGAAACUCCACU